rnacentral:rRNA from 1 species
CCUACGGGUGGCAGCAGUGAGGAAUAUUGGUCAAUGGACGGAAGCCUGAACCAGCCAAGCCGCGUGAGGGAAGAAGGUACAACGUAUCGUAAACCUCUUUUGUCCGGGGACAAAUGCGGGUACUAGUCCCCGGAUGAAGGUACCGUAAGAAAAAGCAUCGGCUAACUCCGUGCCAGCAGCCGCGGUAAUACGGAGGAUGCGAGCGUUAUCCGGAUUUAUUGGGUUUAAAGGGUGCGCAGGCGGCCUGUUAAGUCAGCGGUAAAACCCCGGGGCUCAACCCCGGCGAGCCGUUGAAACUGGCGGGCUGGAGUUGGAGAGCAGUAGGCGGAAUGUGCGGUGUAGCGGUGAAAUGCUUAGAGAUCAGGAAGAACACCAGUGGCGAAGGCGAUUCUCCGGACUGCAACUGACGUUGAGGCUCGAAAGCGUGGGGAGCAAACAGGAUUAGAUACCCCGGUAGUC